rnacentral:rRNA from 1 species
UACAGAGGGGGCAAGCGUUGUUCGGAAUUACUGGGCGUAAAGGGCGCGUAGGCGGCCUGGCGCGUCGGCUGUGAAAUCUCCCGGCUCAACUGGGAGGGGACGGCCGAUACGGCUGGGCUUGAGCGAGGUAGGGGAGAGUGGAAUUCCCGGUGUAGUGGUGGAAUGCGUAGAUAUCGGGAGGAACACCUGUGGCGAAAGCGGCUCACUGGACCACAACUGACGCUGAGGCGCGAAAGCUAGGGGAGCAAACAGG